rnacentral:rRNA from 1 species
ACGUGGCGGCGUGGAUUAGGCAUGCAAGUCGUACGGGCCGCAAGGCCAGUGGCGCAAGGGUGAGUAAGGCGACGGUAACCAACCCCACGGGUGGGUAUAGCCGCGGGAAACUGCGGGUAAUCCCCAGCGAUGCACGCGUCUGGCAUCAGGUGCGUGCCAAAGCUCCGGCGUCGUGGGACGGGCCGUCGUGGUAUUAGGUAGUUGGCGGGGUAACGGCCCACCAAGCCGACGAUGCCUACCGGGCGUGCGAGCGUGGCCCGGCACACUGGGACUGAGACACUGCCCAGACUCCUACGGGAGGCUGCAGUCGAGAAUCUUCGGCAAUGGGCGCAAGCCUGACCGAGCGACGCCGCGUGGAGGACGAAGGCCUUCGGGUUGUAAACUCCUGUCGAGGGGGAAGAAGGCCCCGCAAGGGGCUUGACUGAUCCCUGNAGGAAGCACGGGCUAAGUUCGUGCCAGCAGCCGCGGUAAGACGAACCGUGCGAACGUUAUUCGGAAUCACUGGGCUUAAAGCGCGUGUAGGAGGGAGGGCACGUCCGGCGCUGAAAUCCCCCGGCUCAACCGGGGAACGGGCAC